rnacentral:rRNA from 1 species
AAAACAUGUCUUUUUGAUAAAAAUUUAAAGUCAGGUCUGCUCACUGAAUUAAUUUAAAGAGCCGCAGUAUAUUGACUGUGCAAAGGUAGCAUAAUCAUUAGUUUUUUAAUUGGGAACUAGAAUGAAAGAUUAGACGAAAAAUUAAUUUUCUUUAUUUUAAUAAAUUUAACUUUAAAUUUAAGUGAAAAUGCUUAAAUAUAAUUAAAAGACGAGAAGACCCUAUAGAUUUUUAUUAUCGAAAUAAAUUUUUAAAUUUAAUUUAGUAAAAUAAUUUAAUUGGGGCGAUUUUAUAAUAUAAAUAACUUAAUUUUUUAAAACCAUAAAUAAUUGAAUAUUUGAUCUAAAAUUUUUAAAGAAAAGAUUAAAUUACCUUAGGGAUAACAGCGUAAUUUUAUUUAAGAGUUCAUAUCUAUAAUAAAGUUUGCGACCUCGAUGUUGAAUUAAGAUAAUAUAUUGGAGUAGAAAUUAAUAUAAUUAGUCUGUUCGACUAUUAAAUUCUUACGUGAUCUG